rnacentral:lncRNA from 1 species
CGGGCCUGGAAGUGCCUGGCGCGCUGGGGUUGUUCUGCAGACUAAGGAAAGAAGGCAACGUGUGGAGCUCCUUUUCUCAGGCACCCACCAUCAUGUAACUCUCCUCAUCACCCAGUUUGGAGAUUUGUUCUAGAGUGGCUGUUGCCCCCCAGUACAUGGUUGUAGGUCCUUCUGUUGUGCUUAUGUGGAAUGCUGCGUCAGGAUGGCUUGAUGAGCGGUGCCAUGUCUGCGUCCAGGAUCCGUACCAGUGAAACCCUGUGCCACCAAAGUGGACUGCGUGAACUUAACCACCUGGCCACGGGGCCAGCCCCCCUUAAACUAUCUUAUUUAUAUGUUAACUUUUUUCCCCCCUCGCCCUUUAAAAAUGUAUCUUUCCACCCCUAAGGGCAUUAU